rnacentral:rRNA from 1 species
UACAGAGGGGGCAAGCGUUAUUCGGAAUUAUUGGGCGUAAAGGGCGCGUAGGCGGCCUGGCAAGUGGAAGGUGAAAUCCCUCGGCUUAACCGAGGAACUGCCCUCCAAACUGCUUGGCUUGAGUCCGGGAGAGGUGAGUGGAAUUCCCAGUGUAGCGGUGAAAUGCGUAGAUAUUGGGAGGAACACCGGUGGCGAAGGCGGUUCUCUGGGCCUGUACUGACGCUGAGGAGCGAAAGCGUGGGGAGCGAACAGG